AUACAAAGUCAAGACCAUUAAAUCUAUCGAUGACUGGAAAACCUUAUUGGACUUCAGAUUUAUUCUAAGAUUGUAUCUGGGGACUAAGAAGAAAAGAAGAGAAACAAAAAAGGUGGAGGACAGAGGCAGAAGACUUCCUGGAACACUAAUUUUUUGUUCUGGCAUCUCCGAAGUGCAGCUCCAGGUGACCUGGCUACCAGCUCCAUUUGGUUUAUAAGCUUCAAUGCAUUUCUUGUUAAGGAACAUCUCUUUGAGAAGAAAGCCUCUGACAGAAUAUCCAAGCACAAAGGAAUGAUCCAGACCCGGAGAAGCCAAGUUUCUACGAAGUGAGGAGUCAGCAGGGGGCAGAAGAAAUGUUAUUGCUUUCACUCCUUGUUGGAAAAUUACGGGCCUUCUUUUAAAUCAAAAUUUCUCUUUGCUCUCAAUAAGAUGACAGUCUAGAACACUUGACCUGCUGCUGAGAGAGUGACUUCUUGCUGGGUUUAGAUUACUCAAGAGCUCUGCAUUUAAUCUCGGAAGGCUGCCAGGGGUUUCAAGGAGAGCUGGCAGAGCACCAGAUAGCAGCCACCCACUGAAAGUGGAUGUCCCUCCCUAGGACGCACGACUAUCCUAUUUCAUUUAUUCUAGCUGGGGUCAAAGGACACAUUCAAACCAGCACCUUCUCUUAGGCACCUGAGUGAACCAGAGGGAUGGGGAGGGGUUAUGAGGGAAGAAAAUGUCCUAGGAGCAAGGUGGGAAGUGUACCAGGCCUCUGGACUGCAAAAGCGACCCCUGUGAGCCAGCAGGGUGCACACCCAAGAGCCAGUGAGGUGCUGGGGGCCGGGAAUCAGCUCCCAUGGCACCCACCAAACCACACUUCCAAGUCCUGCGGCAUCCUGAGGAGCUGAGGAACUGACCCCACAGCCCUCAACAAGUUCCCACCAUCUCAUUAAGCCUCUCCAUGAAAGGUCAAGAUUGUAAUAGUCUGGGCCCAUUAUGUUCUUUCUCUCGCAGAACCAAAGUUCAGGAGACAGAAGCUUUUUUUUUCUUUUGGCAAAAACUAUGUUUUAAAAUUAAUCAGUAAAAAUUCUUCCUGGAUUUUCAGUAGUCCCUCAAGGGAUCUGCUAAGCCAGAAGCUGAAGAGAGAUGGCCUCUUCCUUCCGCAGGAAGAAGGAGCCCUCUUGGAGCCCUCUUUCCUAAAAUGGGGGCCACUUCCUAUCCAGAGGGCCCUCAGUCUUGGCAAUGGUUGACUGCUUUAAGAGGGAAUUGUCGCAUUGCAAGCCAAUGUCCGUCAUUAUCAAUGGAAUCUUUCAAUCAGGAAAAAUCUCACGAGUGUGAGGAAUUGGAAGACCAUGGGUGACAUCUGCAGUGUGCAUAAGUUUAAUUAUUACUACUUUGAAAUUCGUGUGUUAGACCUUUCAAAAGCACACAAUAACAUCAUGAUAUAAUUUUUACUAUUAUACAUGUAAUAUACAAAUAUAUAAACAUAUUUGCACACAUACAUAUAUUUAUCUAUCUAGUUCUAUCUAUAUCUAUAUCUGUAUUCAGCACUAAGGCGAGUACACACCUGUUUGUUCAAAUGCUGUCAUCCCCACAGCCAAAGUCUUAACUGGUGCUAGUUCCCAGAAUCAUUUAUUCACAUGUUCAUUACUGAGCACUUGUCAUGGGUUGAAUUGUGUCCUCUCAUCCUCCCAGAAAAGCUGUGUUGAAGUCCUAUUACCUGGUCCCUCAUACCAUGAACUGAUUUGGCUAUAGAGUCUUGGCAGAUGUGAUUAGUUCCUGUGCGGUCAUACUGGAAUAGGGUGGGCCAUUAAUCCAAUAUGGCUCGUAAGAAAAGGAGAAAAGACACAGAGACAGAGACGUGUGAGGGAAGAAGGUCCUGGGACAACAGAGGCAGGGACUGAAGUGCUGAGCCCACAAGCCAAUGAACACCAGGAUUUUCAGUGAAACACCAGACAUGGGAAGAGUCAAAGAGGGGUUCUCCCCUGUAGGUUUCUGAGGCAGCAUGGCCCUGCCAGUGCCCUGGUUUUGAACCUACAGCCUCUGGCCCUGUGAAACAAUCACCUCGAAGUUCCCUGGUUGUGGUACUUUGUUAUGGGAGCCCUGGGAAACCGGCACAGCCCCUCGGUGCUGGGCUUGGGGAGGGUGCGUGACUAAAGUGACUGCCCCAACUUCCAGGAGCACAGGGUCCAGUUGACCCUACGGCCAGGCGGCCUCUAUGUUACCAUCCCAUCUUCAGUCACGAGCUUUUACAAAGAAUUAAUUAGUCAAGUUUAACUGAGUUCUCCCUUGGAAUUUCUCCUUCAAAUGCUGUAGAAGACAAAGAGACAGAGAGAUAAACGCAAAGUACAGUUCAGCUGGAAAGCUCGAGACCUGCCGUUUCUCAGGAAUCCCGGGUGUCGUUUAUAUUAAUUUGCCUUUGGGACUUUUAGAUUUUGUCUUUUAAGUGGAUGUCUCUUAUCCUUAGGGUUAGAGUGACAGCUAUGAUUUUAGAUGAACAUUUUUGGGUCUGGCCACAAUUAACAAUUAAAUUGAUUUACUGACAAGCACCCUUCAGUUUCCUGGUGAGUUUGCUUGGCAGAAUCCCAGCAAAGGGGGUGGGAGGCUGGGUAAAUAUUGGGUAAAUUGGAUCAAUUGUCCACAGCCUACCUGGGUUGAGCCAACUGGAAGAUCCUUUUUUUCUCAAAAAAAUAUGUAUUUC
rnacentral:lncRNA from 10 species